rnacentral:rRNA from 1 species
GAUGAACGCUGGCGGCGUGCCUAAUACAUGCAAGUCGAGCGAACAGACGAGGAGCUUGCUCCUCUGACGUUAGCGGCGGACGGGUGAGUAACACGUGGAUAACCUACCUAUAAGACUGGGAUAACUUCGGGAAACCGGAGCUAAUACCGUAUAAUAUAUUGAACCGCAUGGUUCAAUGGUGAAAGACGGUUUUGCUGGCACUUAUAGAUGGAUCCCCGCCGCAUUAGCUAGUUGGUAGGUUAACGGCUUACCAAGGCAACGAUGCGUAUCCGACCGGGGAGGGGGAUCGGCGACACUAGAACGUGGACAGGGACAAGAGUACUACGGGAGGCAGCAGAAGGGUAUCUGCGGCAGUGGGCGAAAACCUGACGGAGCAACGGCGCGUGAGUGAUGAAGGUCUUCGGAUCGUAAAACUCUGUUAUUAGGGAAGAACAGAUGUGUAAGUAAAUAUGCACGGCUUGACGGUAACUAAUCAGAAAGCCACGGCUAACUACGUG